rnacentral:rRNA from 1 species
AUUGAACGCUGGCGGCAUGCCUUACACAUGCAAGUCGAACGGCAGCGGACCUUCGGGUGCCGGCGAGUGGCGAACGGGUGAGUAAUAUAUCGGAACGUACCUUUCAGUGGGGGAUAACGUAGCGAAAGUUACGCUAAUACCGCAUAUUCUGUGAGCAGGAAAGCAGGGGAUCGCAAGACCUUGCGCUGAUUGAGCGGCCGAUAUCAGAUUAGCUAGUUGUGAGGUAAAGGCUCACCAAGGCGACGAUCUGUAGCGGGUCUGAGAGGAUGAUCGCACACUGGAACUGAGACACGGUCCAGACUCCUAC